rnacentral:pre_miRNA from 1 species
CAUGUACUCCCUCCGUUUGGAAUUACUUGUCUCGAAAAUGAAUGUAUUUAGAACUAAAAUACAUAUAGAUACAUCCAUUUCUAUGACAAGUAAUUUCGAAUAGAGGGAGUACAAU